rnacentral:piRNA from 1 species
UAGGAGGUUUCCACACCAGGGCCGUAGU